CCUACGGGAGGCAGCAGUGGGGAAUUUUGGACAAUGGGCGCAAGCCUGAUCCAGCCAUUCCGCGUGAGUGAAGAAGGCCUUCGGGUUGUAAAGCUCUUUCGCAAGGGAAGAAAACUUACAUUCUAAUAAAGUGUGAGGCUGACGGUACCUUGAUAAGAAGCACCGGCUAACUACGUGCCAGCAGCCGCGGUAAUACGUAGGGUGCGAGCGUUAAUCGGAAUUACUGGGCGUAAAGCGUGCGCAGGCGGUUUUGUAAGUCAGAUGUGAAAUCCCCGGGCUCAACCUGGGAACUGCGUUUGAAACUACAAGGCUAGAGUGUAGCAGAGGGGGGUAGAAUUCCACGUGUAGCAGUGAAAUGCGUAGAGAUGUGGAGGAAUACCAAUGGCGAAGGCAGCCCCCUGGGUUAACACUGACGCUCAUGCACGAAAGCGUGGGGAGCAAACAGGAUUAGAUACCCUGGUAGUCCACGCCCUAAACGAUGUCUACUAGUUGUUGGGAGAGUAAAAUCUCUUAGUAACGCAGCUAACGCGUGAAGUAGACCGCCUGGGGGAGGUACGGUCGCGAGAGUAAACUACAAUAGAGUAGACGGCGUGAGACGUGACCGACGGACGACGACGAGGGAGGAGG
rnacentral:rRNA from 1 species